AUUGAACGCUGGCGGCAGGCCUAACACAUGCAAGUCGAGCGAGCGGCGGACGGGUGAGUAAUGUCUGGGAAACCGCCUGUUGGCGGGGGAUAACUACUGGAAACCGUAGCUAAUACCGCAUCCCAUCAGAUGUGCCCAGAUGGGAUUGGCUGGUCGGUGGGGUAACGGCCCACCUAGGCGACGAUCCCUAGCUGGGCUGAGAGGAUGACCAGCCACCCUGGAACUGAGACACGGUCCAGACUCCUAAGGUAGGCAGCAGGGGGGAAUAUUGCACAAUGGGCGCAAGCCUGAUGCAGCCAUGCCGCGUGUAUGAAGAAGGCCUUCGGGUUGUAAAGUACUUUCAGCGGGGAGGCGUUACCCGCAGAAGAAGCACCGGCUAACUCCGUGCCAGCAGCCGCGGUAAUUC
rnacentral:rRNA from 1 species